AAAGAGUUUGAGUCUGGCUCAUGUUUCACUACGAACUGAAUAUAAAUAUGAAGUUAUCAAUUAAAAAAAUGAAUUUGUAGUAUAUAAUAUUAGUUAUUAGAAAUACUAGAACUAGUCAAGUUCCCAAGGACUAGCAAAAAUCGUGCCAGCCGCUGCGGUUAGACGAAGAGUCCAAGUGAAACCUAAAGAAUAAGUUUAGCAGAGUUAGUUGUAUUUUAAGAAAAAGACAUUAAUUUAUUAAGGAGGUAGAAUUCAAAUAAAUAAAAAAUUUUUAUUUAAUACUAAACACAACCUAAAAAACCUAGAUUAAAAACCAGGAUUAGAUACCCUGCUAUUCUAGGCAAAAUAACUCAGGGUAGUAAAAGAAGUUCUUCAAACCCAAAGACUUUGGCGGUAUCCUAACAUAACAGAGGAGCUUGUCCCGUAAUCGAUAGUCCCCGUUUAAUCUUACUUAAUCUCGCCCACAGCUUGUGUACUACCGUUGUAAGGUUAAUUUUAAAGAACAUUUCCAGCCUUAAUUUCUCUUAAACAAUUCAGGUCACAGUACAGCUCAUGAUUAAGGGGUGAUGAGCUACAAUUGAAUUUAUCAACUACGAAACAGCAGUGAAAUUCUGCUAGGAAGGCGGAUUUGUCAGUAAGUAUUUUUAAGAAAAAACUACUGAAGAAUGCAAUAGGAUAUGCACAUAUCGCCCGUCACUCUCCUAUUUAAAAGGAGAUAAGUCGUAACAUAGUAGAUGUACCGGAAGGUGUAUCUAGAACGAC
rnacentral:ncRNA from 1 species